AGACAAUCAAAAUUAUCACCAAAAUGCGAUUGGCCAUCAUUUUGAUUCUGUUGACUCUUGUAGCAAGUGGAUAUACAAGAUUCUUUUGUAAGUACAACUUUAACUUAAUAUAGUUUUUUUUAUGAUUAAAUAUAACAAAUGCGUAGAAAGUAAAUAAGACAGCAACCCACAGACCCUAAGAUUGUUUUUUUUUUGUGAUUAAGAUUGUGACACGGUGUUGACUGCUGUACCCUUAUAUUGACAUUUUUGCGUAUUAUGUCUGUUUGUUUUAUUCACGCAUCGUUGUCAAUAUCAUGGAAUUUGAUGCGACUGCCAUAGUGAGAGGACCAGGUUCAAUCAACCAUUUUCUAAAUAAGAAAUUACCUGUAACAAGUACGGGAUAUGGCAGUUGAUGUGUUUGUGCUUUUAAUUUUUGUCAUUUGAUUAGGGACUUUCCGUUUUCCCCGGAGUUCAAUUUUUUUGUUAUUUAACUUUUUAUAGAUCAACUUCUGUAAAAUAAUGUGUCUUUACGAUAUGUCAAGCUCUAAAACAUUUCAAAAAUGAUAAAUCUCAUGGAAUAUAUAAAUCUUUAUUUUUGUUUCAGUUUACCGUAGACCAUAUUACCGACGGAGUUACUACCCUUCUUACAGAUCAUAUAAUUAUUAUGGUGGAUCAAACAACUACUACAAGGACGCCGGAGGUAAGCUAUUAUCCAUAAAUGUUUAGGUGCAAGCUGAAUCUGAAUCCGGGUGCGGGAAUGUCACGCUGUUUUGAAGACCCAUUGGUGGCAUUGGGCUGUUUUCGGCUCAUUAAUCGGUGUGUUGCCCUUUGAAAUAUUCUCCGUUUCCAUUCUCAAUUUUGAGUUUUGAUGCAGUGCAUUGUAAAACUUGUUUGAACAUAUCUUUGACUAAAAUAAUCGCUGCUGCGUUUCUGACUAAAUGGAACUGCACUACCUUUCAAUAAGCUUUUAUUUAGAACAUUGCAAUGGGGUUCACCUUAUUUCAUUUCAAGGACACACACAUUAAAAAAAAAUAAUUCAAAAACAGAAUGUAUACGCUCAUAGAUGUCAGACGUUAGCAUUAAAUCUCCUAUGGACUUCGAAAGGCGAAAAACGAGAUUAAAAAGCUGAAAAGUGAUUAUCUUUGGCCAAAGUGAAUUUUGAUGGAAAUUUUUUGUCGAUAGACGAUUUAGCGAGUGUUUAGACUUGAUAAAAGAGGGACGAAAGAUACCAAAAGGGACAGUCAAACUCAUAAAUCUAAAACAAACUGACAACGCCAUGGCUAAAAAUGAAAAAGACAAACAUACAACAACACACACGAAACAACAUAGAAAACAUAAGAAUAAACAACACGAACCCCACCAAAAUACUAGGGGUGAUCUCAGGUGCUCCGGAAGGGUAAGCAGAUCCUGCUCCACAUGUAGAUAAAGGACGAAGCUUUAGGUUUGCAUUAUACCAAACAGUAACUCCACAUUAAUUCAUGUUAAGUCUAUGUUCGUAUGACCUUUAAGAUUGGGAAACAAUGUGCUGUUUUCAACAUAUAAAUGUACUUGUUUACUAUAAACUGAUCACGUGCAUUAGUGUAUCAGUGAUACAUUGGGCGAACAUACGUGUUUAACGGUCAGACAAGUAAUUGACCAAAUAAACAUGACAUAUAUUAUCUGAAAAAAACAGUAUAGUUAACAGGGUCAAGUUGUCGCCUUUGAGGCCAAUAAUUGUUCUACACCUUAUAGGCUGCACUAAAAACAUUGUCGAGCUUAAUAAAAUGAAACGGUCUUUCAAUAAAUCCGCUGUGUCAUUAGAUCUUGUUGCAUUUUUGAUGAAGGUAAAUCAAAAAAUGAAUCGAGUGCAAGAACUGUAUAAAAUGUUAAUAUCAUUUACGGUUGUUGUAUUUUGCACAAAAACUGGACUAAAACUAAGUAGUCUUUUGUCUUCAUUUGGUUGCCUAAUCUGCAAACUUUAGGCUUAAUGUUAACGUUUGUUAUGUUCAGCAUGACUUGCACUUGAUUGAGUUUCGAAAAAUAAUCAAUGUGUAUUCAACAAAAUUUCUAGAAUUUCUAUUAAACUUCUUCUUUUUUUGACAGAUCGCAACGAAAUUUGGUCUGAUGCAUAGUAAAGGACUUUGAGAAACAUGGACAAGAAUCAGAACUGGCC
rnacentral:lncRNA from 1 species